rnacentral:rRNA from 1 species
CCUACGGGAGGCAGCAGUGGGGAAUAUUGCACAAUGGGGGAAACCCUGAUGCCGCGACGCCGCGUGAGUGAAGAAGUAUUUCGGUACGUAAAGCUCUAUCAGCAGGGAAGAAAAAAAGUCCUUUGGCCUUUGGCCGGUACCUGACCAAGAAGCCCCGGCUAACUACGUGCCAGAAGCCGCGGUAAUACGUAGGGGGCAAGCGUUAUCCGGAUUUACGGGGUGUAAAGGGAGCGUAGACGGCAGCGCAAGUCUGGAGUGAAAUGCCGGGGCCCAACCCCGGAACUGCUUUGGAAACUGUGCAGCUGGAGUGCAGGAGAGGUAAGCGGAAUUCCUAGUGUAGCGGUGAAAUGCGUAGAUAUUAGGAGGAACACCAGGGGCGAAGGCGGCUUACUGGACUGUAACUGACGUUGAGGCUCGAAAGCGUGGGGAGCAAACAGGAUUAGAUACCCCGGUAGUC